UACGUAGGGGGCAAGCGUUGUCCGGAAUUAUUGGGCGUAAAGAGCGCGUAGGCGGUCCGAUAAGUCGGCUGUGAAAGUCAGGGGCUCAACCCUUGAAAGCCGGCCGAUACUGUCGGACUAGAGUCCGGAAGAGGCGAGUGGAAUUCCCGGUGUAGCGGUGAAAUGCGCAGAUAUCGGGAGGAACACCAAUGGCGAAGGCAGCUCGCUAGGACGGUACUGACGCUGAGGCGCGAAAGCGUGGGGAGCAAACAGG
rnacentral:rRNA from 1 species